UACAUAGGUCCCAAGCGUUGUUCGGAUUCAUUGGGCGUAAAGGGUGCGUAGGCGGCGCGGUAAGUCGGGUGUGAAAUCUCGGAGCUUAACUCCGAAACUGCAUUCGAUACUGCCGUGCUUGAGGACUGGAGAGGAGACUGGAAUUUACGGUGUAGCGGUGAAAUGCGUAGAUAUCGUAAGGAAGACCAGUGGCGAAGGCGGGUCUCUGGACAGUUCCUGACGCUGAGGCACGAAGGCCAGGGGAGCAAACGGG
rnacentral:rRNA from 1 species